rnacentral:RNase_P_RNA from 1 species
GUGAGCUGGCGGACGGCUUUCGAACGCUCACGCGUUUGAGGAAACUCCGCCCACCAUGUAGAACUGCAACGCCUGCAAAGACGUGAGGCGAGAGCCUUGGCUCCGGAGCAGAAACGGAACGUCCAUUCGGCGAGAGGACUAUGAAGCGUGUUAAGUCGUUGAGGAUGCCGGUGGAAGCGGUGAAACGGCCGACCUGCAGGGUGAAAGGGCAAAUAGGCGCCUGUGAAUUUCUGCGGGAGGCGCGGGUAGCCCGUUUAGCUGAAUGCCGUCUUUGAACAGAAGGCGGGUUACGUCCAGCACAC